rnacentral:lncRNA from 1 species
UUGGUCAUCUCCAUCACCUUGAGUGCCAUCUAGUAGCUCCAUAAUGGACUUGGACUAACCUAUCUCAUAUACACACAUAGAGCAUAGGGCUAGUCCAAUAAAUUUCAUCAAUUAUCCAAAACCAAACUAGCACCUUUAGCUAGGGAGUUACUUUAUGUAAUUUUUAUAAUUGUAGAGGUAAAUACGUUCAUAGGGGGUGAACAUGCAUACAUGACAGCCAUAAAUAUUAUAAUUUGUGUGCUUUUGUAGUACGAUUUGUAAAAAAAGAAUAAAAACAUAUGUUUAUUAUAUUAUCCAUGAUGAUUUAGAGCCCGCCAAAUUAGAAGUCGU